AUUGAACGCUGGCGGCAGGCCUAACACAUGCAAGUCGAGCGAGAAAGGUCUUCGGACUGAGUACAGCGGCGGACGGGUGAGUAAAGCGUAGGAAUCUACCUGGUAGUGGGGGAUAACUUGGGGAAACUCAAACUAAUACCGCAUACGCCCUACGGGGGAAAGCGGGGGACCUUCGGGCCUCGCGCUAUCAGAUGAGCCUGCGUAGGAUUAGCUAGUUGGUGAGGUAAAGGCUCACCAAGGCGACGAUCCUUAGCUGGUCUGAGAGGAUGAUCAGCCACACUGGGACUGAGACACGGCCCAGACUCCUACGGGAGGCAGCAGUGGGGAAUAUUGCGCAAUGGGCGAAAGCCUGACGCAGCCAUGCCGCGUGUGUGAAGAAGGCCUUAGGGUUGUAAAGCACUUUCAAUUGGGAAGAAAAGUUGGUCGUUAAUAGCGGCCAGCCCUGACAUUACCUUUAGAAGAAGGACCGGCGUAACUCCGUG
rnacentral:rRNA from 1 species